rnacentral:rRNA from 2 species
UGGGGAAUAUUGCACAAUGGGCGAAAGCCUGAUGCAGCAACGCCGCGUGAAGGAUGAAGGCCCUUGGGUCGUAAACUUCUGUUCUAAGGGAAGAUAAUGACGGUACCUUAGGAGCAAGUCCCGGCUAACUACGUGCCAGCAGCCGCGGUAAUACGUAGGGGGCGAGCGUUAUCCGGAAUUAUUGGGCGUAAAGAGUACGUAGGCGGGAAAUUAAGCGCAGGGUUUAAGGCAAAGGCUUAACCAUUGUUCGCCCUGUGAACUGAUUUUCUUGAGUGCAGGAGGGGAAAGCGGAAUUCCUAGUGUAGCGGUGAAAUGCGUAGAUAUUAGGAGGAACACCAGUGGCGAAGGCGGCUUUCUGGACUGUAACUGACGCUGAGGUACGAAAGUGUGGGGAGCAAACAGG